rnacentral:rRNA from 1 species
UACGUAGGGCGCAAGCGUUAUCCGGAAUUACUGGGCGUAAAGCGUGCGCAGGCGGUUUUGUAAGCCAGAUGUGAAAUCCCCGGGCUUAACCUGGGAAUGGCAUUUGGGACUGCAAGGCUGGAGUGCGGCAGAGGAGACUGGAAUUCCUGGUGUAGCAGUGAAAUGCGUAGAUAUCAGGAGGAAUACCGAUGGCGAAGGCAGGUCUCUGGGCUGACACUGACGCUCAUGCACGAAAGCGUGGGGAGCAAACAGG